rnacentral:lncRNA from 1 species
GCGUGUGGCGAUACCGCUUCCGGCGGACGGGCAUGUCAUAUCGCCCAGAGCAGCUGCUCGUCACUUCAAUGUUCGAUCUUGUUGAAUCAACAAGUUAAUUCUCCCGUGGCCAUUGUUUAAAGAAUACAAUUUUUGGUUAAAAUGUUUAUUUAUAGAAGAUUAGUUUACGUUGGAAGGAGUUAUUAUUUUAUUUUGGAUUUGUGGAGUUAGAAAAAGAGUUUUGUUUCCAGUUCCUUUUUUUUUGGAAAGCAAUGGCCACGGAAGAAAGAAGAUAAUAUAGGAAAUUAAGUCAAUCUAUACUUUAGUUUACCUUUAUGGAAUAAAGCAUCAUUUUGCACCUCCCCAGGUUUGGGGGAAACCGGAGGAUAUCUUAUUUGGCGCUCCCCUCAUCAGAUUCACAGGCUUUGGAGAAGCAACACGCCUACUUUUGUAGCGACAGGUUUUUAGAAUUAAAUUUGACUGUUAUUUUUUCUAAUAAAAUUUUUCAAUUUUA